UACAGGGGGUGCAAGCGUUGCUCGGAAUUAUUGGGCGUAAAGCGCGCGUAGGCGGUUACUUAAGUCGGAUGUGAAAGCCCUUGGCUUAACCGAGGAAGUGCAUCCGAAACUGAGUAGCUUGAGUAUGACAGAGGGUCGCGGAAUUCCCGGUGUAGAGGUGAAAUUCGUAGAUAUCGGGAGGAACACCGGUGGCGAAGGCGGCGACCUGGGUCAAAACUGACGCUGAGGCGCGAAAGCGUGGGGAGCAAACAGG
rnacentral:rRNA from 1 species